rnacentral:rRNA from 1 species
CGUGUAGGCGGGUCUUUAAGUCAGGGGUGAAAUGCCAAGGCUCAACCUUGGAACUGCCUUUGAUACUGGAGAUCUUGAGUCCGGGAGAGGUGAGUGGAAUUGCGAGUGUAGAGGUGAAAUUCGUAGAUAUUCGCAAGAACACCAGUGGCGAAGGCGGCUCACUGGCCCGGAACUGACGCUGAGACGCGAAAGCGUGGGAGCAAACA